GGGUUACAAAAGCUGCUCUUAUCUCUCUUCUUCAUCAUGGUCAUGGUCUUAGAAUUUUUAAGGCCUUGAUAGCUUUGUUUCUCUGUCGCCGAGGGAGAAUCUCCAGAAGCGUACGAUGUGGCCUUCGUCUCGAAACUCUUCGCAGCCUCAAGCUAUGAGACAAGAGAAGAAGUCGAUAACUGGGAGUUUCAGGGCAGAGAAUCUCAUACCAGGGGUUGUGAUCGGAUUCAUCAUAGGUAUGAUAUUGGAUUUGUCACAACAAGUGAGAUCCCCAGUGAAAAGGAGCAGGCUUUUAUCCAGCAAGGUCCAGAAGCAGAGUUCUGUACCAGGCAAUGGCAGUGACAAAGAGCUUAAAAUGGUUUUGGUAGUUAGGCAAGACUUAAAGAUGAGAACAGGAAAAAUUGCAUCACAGUGCGCCCAUGCUGCCACCGGCAUGUAUGCAGAGUUGAUGCAGAGUGACCGAUACCUACUGAGGCGAUGGGAGGAAAAUGGGCAACCAAAGAUAGUCGUCAGUUGUAAGAACCAGCAAGAAAUGAAUAAGAUCACAGAGGCGGCUGAGAGCGUUGGCCUCCCGACUUUUGUUGUAGCUGAUGCUGGAAGAACAGAGGUUGCGGCUGGAUCAAGAACGGUUCUUGCAGUUGGACCGGGACCAAAGGAAUUGGUUGAUUCCAUAACCGGUAGGCUGGCUUUACUCUGAUUCCGAGCUUUUUGUUGGCGUACUUCCUUUUGGGGUUUUUAUUUCUCCAGGAUUGAAGUUAAUUCAGGCAAGGCAGUGUUGUUGUGUAAUGAUUAAACAAGGGUAUUGUCUUCCAAAACCAAGGUUACAAAGUUGUGUAACUUACAACCAGAAUUUGUUAGUCAAAAUUAGGGAAACAAUUUUUAUGACCAUUAAAGGAAACAUUCACAUAUA